rnacentral:rRNA from 1 species
GCUAAGAAUAUUCCGCAAUGGACGAAAGUCUGACGGAGCGACGCCGCGUGGAUGAAGAAGGCCGAAAGGUUGUAAAAUCCUUUUGUCGGGGAAGAAUAAGCGUGGGAGGGAAUGCCCGCGUGAUGACAUGAACCGGCGAAUAAGCCCCGGCUAACUACGUGCCAGCAGCCGCGGUAACACGUAGGGGGCAAGCGUUGUUCGGAAUUACUGGGCGUAAAGGGCAUGUAGGCGGUUUUGUAAGCCUGGCGUGAAAUUCUGCAGCUUAACUGUAGGACUGCGCUGGGAACUGCGAGACUGGAGUCACGGAGAGGGAGCCAGAAUUCCAGGUGUAGGGGUGAAAUCUGUAGAUAUCUGGAAGAAUACCAAUGGCGAAGGCAGGCUUCUGGCCGAUGACUGACGCUGAGGUGCGAAAGCGUGGGUAGCAAACAGGAUUAGAAACCCUGGUAGUCC